AGCAAUUCAAACAAGUGUAGAAGCUCCUACAACUGGAGCAACUAAUACCAAUAAAGCAACUACUACAACUGGAGCAAUUCAAACAAGUGGAGAAACUACUACAACUCGAGCAACUCUUCCCAGUAUAGCAACUACUGCAAAUGCAGCAACUCACACCAUUAUUCUGAUCAUGGGACCUUUACUUUCAACUCUUAUCCUUAAUAAGUGAAUGUGGACACAUUCGCUACCUGAGGACCAGAAGAUACCGCACCAAACCUCAAAAGCAGCCAGUGCAGAUGAGUGUGGCACCACCUAAACACGAACAUCUACCUGCAGGAAACUCUUGAAUUCUAUCUGUUUAUUAAGAUUAUUUACUCAUUCAUUUUUGUUCUUCUUUAAUAUUGAAUGAAAUCGAAUGAAGUCUAUUAUUGUUAAUCAUUUAUUUCACAUUUUAAUUUUUUAUGUAAUGGUUGUUAAAUGGCUGUCCUCUUUCUUUCAUGUUAUACCUUCUCUAAUCAGUUGUUGCUAUUAGAAAUACAGUGUCAUGGUCCCCGCACCUCGCCAACUGACAGCAGUCAGGCGCUAUGUUUUGUUUUGUUUAUUCUCCUCUCUCGUCCUCUCCCACUCUCUCUUUCUCCUGCCAGGGCGGAGCUCAGUAUGGGCUCCCGCCCCUGGCCCACGCGCCUGGGGAUGAUUAGCACACCUGCCGCUGAUUACGAGAAUUAGAGUCCUACUUAAGAUGGCGAUGCACUGUGACUGAGCGUGAGCAAGAGUGGUAGAGGAAAGAAGAGGAGCUGUGUGUGUUUGCGAGAGCUGUAUGGGAAUCUCCCCUCCCUGGACUCCUGCCCCUUUCACUCCCGGACCCUGGAACCCCAG